rnacentral:rRNA from 1 species
CGGCCACAUUGGGACUGAGACACGGCCCAGACUCCUACGGGAGGCAGCAGUGGGGAAUAUUGCACAAUGGGGGAAACCCUGAUGCAGCGACGCCGCGUGGAGGAAGAAGGUCUUCGGAUUGUAAACUCCUGUUGUUGAGGAAGAUAAUGACGGUACUCAACAAGGAAGUGACGGCUAACUACGUGCCAGCAGCCGCGGUAAAACGUAGGUCACAAGCGUUGUCCGGAAUUACUGGGUGUAAAGGGAGCGCAGGCGGGAAGACAAGUUGGAAGUGAAAUCUAUGGGCUCAACCCAUAAACUGCUUUCAAAACUGUUUUUCUUGAGUAGUGCAGAGGUAGGCGGAAUUCCCGGUGUAGCGGUGGAAUGCGUAGAUAUCGGGAGGAACACCAGUGGCGAAGGCGGCCUACUGGGCACCAACUGACGCUGAGGCUCGAAAGUGUGGGUAGCAAACAGGAUUAGAUACCCUGGUAGUCCACACCGUAAACGAUGAUUACUAGGUGUUGGAGGAUUGACCCCUUCAGUGCCGCAGUUAACACAAUAAGUAAUCCACCUGGGGAGUACGACCGCAAGGUUGAAACUCAAAGGAAUUGACGGGGGCCCGCACAAGCAGUGGAGUAUGUGGUUUAAUUCGACGCAACGCGAAGAACCUUACCAAGUCUUGACAUCCUGCGACGGACAUAGAAAUAUGUCUUUCCUUCGGGACGCAGAGACAGGUGGUGCAUGGUUGUCGUCAGCUCGUGUCGUGAGAUGUUGGGUUAAGUCC